UUCUGCUUUACAAUAGUGCUGUGGAGUGGUUGACACUCAUUGUCCAAGAUGUUGAUCAGUUUGUUCAGGGUCCUUCUGUCAGAUACACAUCUGUGCAUGGAGGAUCACCACAGGCCUGAGGUGUGGUCAGGAGAGGACAAGCUGGACUUGGAUAGCGGGUACCUCACCCCUUUGCCUUGAUGAAGGUAAACACCGCUGCACCGGAGGGGUUCAGAGCCUGAGAACAUGACCGAAUCACAUCCCCCGCACACAACACUUGCCUUACCCCACACUGCAGUCCUUGACCUGAGACCACCUGGUCAAGGGUACUGCUACGUCCACUCAUGCGAGAUCUCCUCGCCACUGAGAUAGGGCGUGGAGGGGAUGGAAAGGGACAGGAGACCCUGGGAAUACUUAGCAGACCUUGGGGCUCUUAGUACACUCAAUGUAGUCAAAACUUACUUACACCUACUCAAUUAUAUAGUCUAUAGCAGUGGUCUCCAACACGGUGCCCGCGGGACGGCUAUGAGGCUCCCCCAGCGCACUUUCUAAAAAUAGCCAACAGGUCGCCUGCAGAUCACGCUCUAAAAACACGCUC